UAGGGAAUCUUCCGCAAUGGACGCAAGUCUGACGGAGCAACGCCGCGUGAGUGAAGAAGGAUUUCGGUUCGUAAAACUCUGUUGUUAGAGAAGAACAGCGCAUAGAGUAACUGUUAUGCGUGUGACGGUAUCUAACCAGAAAGCCACGGCUAACUACGUGCCAGCAGCCGCGGUAAUACGUAGGUGGCAAGCGUUGUCCGGAUUUAUUGGGCGUAAAGCGAGCGCAGGCGGUUAGAUAAGUCUGAAGUUAAAGGCAGUGGCUCAACCAUUGUAGGCUUUGGAAACUGUUUAACUUGAGUGCAGAAGGGGGGAGUGGAAUUCCAUGUGUAGCGGUGAAAUGCGUAGAUAUAUGGAGGAACACCGGUGGCGAAAGCGGCUCUCUGGUCUGUAACUGACGCUGAGGCUCGAAAGCGUGGGGAGCGAACAGG
rnacentral:rRNA from 1 species